rnacentral:rRNA from 1 species
AUGGUGAAGAUUAACGUGGAUGCUGCCGUGGCCGGAAGAUUGGGUGUGGAAGCCGUGGCAGCCAUUGCCAGGGACAGCGGAGGAUCUUUCUUGGGUGCCUCUACCUUUGGCUUCAAAUUCACCACGGAUCCCACCACUCUUGAAGCACUUGCGAUUAGAGAAUCAUUGGCAUUGGCAGACGUUCUACAGCUCCGGUCUAUUCAGGUGGCAUUUGACUGCAAGAUCGUGAUUGACGACAUCAAGCAGCAAAGCGGAGGGAGUUAUGGUGCAAUUAUUCAUGAAAUCCUAGAACAUUCUCGUAGUUUUACCUCUUGUAUUUUUGUUCAUAAAUUUAGGAACUCGAAUGUCGAGGCUCACAAUGUAGCGAAGCAUGCUUUAAAGUUAGGGGGCGGCCGCCAUGUCUGGUUAGGCCACCCCGGAAACUUUUCUUUCGUCCCUGUAACUUUGUUGACG